AUUGAACGCUGGCGGCAGGCCUAACACAUGCAAGUCGAGCGGCAGAAGGGAGAUUGCUCCUGGAUACAGCGGCGGACGGGCGGGUGAUGGAUAGGUAUAUGCCAGGUAGCGGGGGAUAACGUGCGGAAGCGGGCGCACAUACCGCAAAAGUCCAGAGGGAGAAAGGGGGGGAUCAUGGGACCUCACGAUAUCAGAUGAGCCUAGGUCGGAUUAGCUAGUUGGUGGGGUAAAGGCCUACCAAGGCGACGAUCCGUAACUGGUCUGAGAGGAUGAGCAGCCACACUGGAACUGAGACACGGUCCAGACUCCUACGGGAGGCAGCAGUGGGGAAUAUUGGACAAUGGGCGAAAGCCUGAUCCAGCCAUGCCGCGUGUGUGAAGAAGGUCUUCGGGUUGUAAAGCCCUUUUAUUGGGGAAGAAGAGCAGCAGGUUAAUACCUUGCUGUUUUGACGUUACCAACAGAAUAAGCACCGGCUAACUUCGUG
rnacentral:rRNA from 1 species